GCGGCGCCGCCGCACCUCCGGGCCGCUCCACUAGGUGCUGCUGCCGCGGCCGCCAGGGAGGGAGGUGUCGGAGGGCGGGCCCCGCGCGGUGCUAGGGUUCCGUCUGGACUGGCGGUGAAAACGCCUCUUCUCUCAGACACAUCGUUAUCUGCCAAUUCUUCGCAGACGUAGAGAACGGACUGCAGAGUUAAUAAACGUCGAGGGGAAGCUUUGAUGCGCCCCAUUUGGCCCUGAGAGAUGCCACGUGAUCGUCAUUUUAAAUCCUUUCCUGGGCUUCCCGAUGGACUCGAGUUUUUACUAUGUGAGCAUCCCGGUGCCUGCACAGCAAGGACUCUCAUUGGGUUCCACACGUGCUGCGCAGAUCCCUGACGCAGCGUUCACUGAACCUCAACUGCAGGAGCUUCAUUCCUGAGGACGCUGUUACCAAGAAUGACUUGCCUCUUGAAGAAUGAGUUUGCAAAGCCGGCAGUUAGAUUGCUGAUGUCCAAAGUAAGUAUGUGUAGCAUCACUAAAGAGAAAAUUCAGGAUUCCUGGAAAACAGUUAUGGGCUCUCUGCAGUGUUAUUUUUGUAAUAAAAAACAUAUAGCAUAUGUGAAAUACCUACUGGGUGAUGCAGGACACAUAGAAGGCUCGAAAUUAAUGUGAAUCAUUCUCGUUUUUCUGACUGUCAUUAAAAGUCCCCAUUUGUAUUAUGUAUGAGUGGUAUAUCAAUAUCUAAACUACACUUUAUUGUAGGUCCCAACCAACAUUAGUUUAUUGACAAAUGUUUAAGAGCAGCCAAAAAUUCAUAGAAUACCUAUGAUUCUUAAAUCAUGAACACUCCCAUAACUGGUAUAUGUUUAGGACAUGAAAAUUUCCAGGCUGACAAAUAAUUUCGCUGUCAUCGGUCAAGACUCCAGGAUGAUAUUCUGAGCCAUAUGUUAAUUUUGAUAACCACCUAGAACAAUAAAAGGUAAACAUGCUACCA
ensembl:lncRNA AFDN-DT AFDN divergent transcript